UACAGGGGGGGCAAGCGUUGUUCGGAAUUACUGGGCGUAAAGGGCUCGUAGGUGGCCAACUAAGUCGGACGUGAAAUCCCUCAGCUUAACCGGGGAACUGCGUCCGAUACUGGAUGGCUUGAGUUCGGGAGAGGGAUGCGGAAUUCCAGGUGUAGCGGUGAAAUGCGUAGAUAUCUGGAGGAACACCGGUGGCGAAGGCGGCAUCCUGGACCGACACUGACGCUGAGGAGCGAAAGCCAGGGGAGCAAACGGG
rnacentral:rRNA from 1 species